AACCGUAAGUGCUUCUCACUUUUCCCGGCUGCCGUGCCGGCUGUCCUCACAUCCACUCUCUUAAAGGCUCGAAGAUGCAAAUUCAGACUGUUUGUGAGGAUUGCUUUACCAGUAUGUGGAAAUCAAUCUGUGACCCUGCCUCUGGAGGUUUUGUAUGUGUGUGUGAGUGUGUGUCGAGACAGACUUUGUAACUCCAGCUUGGCCCAUGUGCAUCUCGUGCAUGGAAGUCUUUUUGACUGUGGGAAACAUCCUGUCGUGUUGUGUCACCGUCACCCUCUGUGGACGCUGCUGAGAGAGGGUUGCCAUCGGUGCCUCCCUCCUCCCUUCUUCACUCCUCUGUCUUACCACUCUUUUCUUUUUACCAUUUCCUCUUGUUCCUUCAAUUUUUUACUCAUAAUUCUGUCAUUUUUCUUGUUUUAGCACAAAUCCAUAUUUCUUUACAUAUUCCCUCUUAUCCCACACCCCUUGCUUUAGUCACUUAUUUAUUAAUUUUUAUUCCGCUUUCCUAAAAUUGUUCUGUCUUGCACCUGAAGAGUGUAAUUAAAUCACUUCAUUUGGGAUUCUGACCUCCUGCAUCCCCUUAACAGAAACUGGAGGGCCAUCACUACAAAGAGGGGAAAGGGAGUGGGCUGUAGGAGAGGAGGGGAGGUACUGGCUGGCGGAGGGCCCAGACCUGAACCAGACAGACAGUGAAACGUCAUCACACCAAAUCCAGACUCCCUGACUGUGAUCGUGUGUGUGCAUUUGUGUGGUGGUUGUGUGUAGACGGAGGGUUCACAGUGUUUGUAGCUCAAAGCCUGCUGAGGCUGCAAAGGAGACAGACAGAGAACGAUGCAAUGAGGACAGUUGUGUGGUACUGGGAGUUCUGCUCUGAUGAGGAAGCUUGGCAGGUUGUAGGCUGACCUCAGGGGGCAAAUAUCAGCAUUUUGCCCACAGGUGGAAGGGGGAGUCUGGCCGAGUUCACCCGUCCAGCAGCAGGCCUUGCUUUCUUUUUUGUCAGGUAACGAGGUAAAAAAAUCUUUUAUUAUUAAGUUUAUUGUAUAAGAUAUUAACAGUAUGCCAGCAAAUUAGAAAGAAUGUAGUUAAAGCACUGCAAUUAUGUGCUUUUUCUUUAUUGCAAUUUUGAUCAAACAGUUUCACCUCAAACUUGGAAAACUGCUAAACAAUACAUGCACAUUACACCUGAAAACAACGUUUUAAAAUCUGAAUCCAGAUGUAAAUGAAAUCGAGUGUAACCAAUAAUAUUUGAUCAUGUUUAAAGGUUGGGGUGUUUUCUAAACAGAGACGGUUCCAUGGCUAAAAAACAAAAAAAAAUAGUCCAUGAAAGCUUUAGUAGAGGCAUGUCCAAAGUUUGACCCGCGGGCCAAAUGAGGCUCCCGUUUAAAUAUCCAACAGCCCUAAAGCUCCUGUCAUAAAAUCAUUUUAAUUUUAACAUGUUCUAAAAACUGUCUAUAUUUCUUAUUUGUGGUUAGCUAAAUUGUGUUUUCAUAUUCAAUAUGAAGAGGAGAAAAACUGGUGCCCAACCUUUUUGUGGCUGCGAAUGGGUCAACCCAUGAGGAUUGUACCAAGAGGGAGGGAGGAGGGGGUAAUACUGAUCAUCGUUUCAUUCCGUCAUCUGACAUGUGUGCAUGAUGAAGGAUUGAUAAAACACAUAAGGCCUCUUGAUUUAUUGUCAUGUCAGAAGUGGUUAAAAUAGAGUUUAAAAAGAAAAAAAAAAAAA